rnacentral:rRNA from 1 species
GACGAACGCUGGCGGCGUGCUUAACACGUGCAAGUCGAACGGGGUUAAGGAGCUUGCUUCUUAACUUAGUGGCGAACGGGUGAGUAACGCGUGAGGAACCUGCCUCUCAGUGGGGGACAACAGUUGGAAACGACUGCUAAUACCGCAUAAAACCGUAGUACCGCAUGGUACAUCGGUCAACGAUUUAUUGCUGAGAGAUGGCCUCGCGUCUGAUUAGCUAGUUGGUGGGGUAACGGCCCACCAAGGCGACGAUCAGUAGCCGGACUGAGAGGUUGACCGGCCACAUUGGGAAUGAGAUACGGCCCAGACUCCUACGGGAGGCAGCAGUGGGGAAUAUUGGGCAAUGGGCGAAAGCCUGACCCAGCAACGCCGCGUGAAGGAAGAAGGCCUUCGGGUUGUAAACUUCUUUUACCAGGGACGAACACAAUGACGGUACCUGGAGAAAAAGCAACGGCUAACUACGUGCCAGCCGCCGCGGUAACAC